UCAGUAACGUAGCUAACGCGUGAAAUUGACCGCCUGGGGAGUACGGUCGCAAGAUUAAAACUCAAAGGAAUUGACGGGGACCCGCACAAGCGGUGGAUGAUGUGGAUUAAUUCGAUGCAACGCGAAAAACCUUACCUACCCUUGACAUGUUCGGAAUUCUGCAGAGAUGCGGAAGUGCUCGAAAGAGAACCGGAACACAGGUGCUGCAUGGCUGUCGUCAGCUCGUGUCGUGAGAUGUUGGGUUAAGUCCCGCAACGAGCGCAACCCUUAUCAUUAGUUGCUACGCAAGGGCACUCUAAUGAGACUGCCGGUGACAAACCGGAGGAAGGUGGGGAUGACGUCAAGUCCUCAUGGCCCUUAUGGGUAGGGCUUCACACGUCAUACAAUGGUCGGUACAGAGGGCUGCCAACCCGCAAGGGGGAGCCAAUCCUUUAAAACCGAUCGUAGUCCGGAUUGAGGUCUGCAACUCGACCUCAUGAAGUCGGAAUCGCUAGUAAUCGCGGAUCAGCAUGUCGCGGUGAAUACGUUCCCGGGUCUUGUACACACCGCCCGUCACACCAUGGGAGCGGGUUUUACCAGAAGUAGCUAGC
rnacentral:rRNA from 1 species